rnacentral:tRNA from 1 species
GCGCCCGUAGCUCAGCAGGACAGAGCAAGAGUUUCCUAAACUCUGGGUCGGGGGUUCGAGUCCCUCCGGGCGCG